rnacentral:lncRNA from 1 species
UGUACCAUUGAGAUCAGCAUCUGGUCUUGGGACUAAGACCUCAGGCAGCCAAAGGCUGAAGAUGAUAGAAUCAUAGAGUCAUAGAAUCAUAGAAUCAUAGAAUCAUAGAAUCAGCUGGGUUGGAAGGGACCUCUGAGAUCAUCAAGUCCAACCUUGACCCAAGAGACCUACAGAAGGUUUAAUGGGAAGACAGUAGGAAAAUAGGAAACAGUGGCCCUAUCCUGACCUCAAUUACUCUGAGUGACCUCUACACUAUGUCGAUGGAAGAAGGAGGUGCGUUCCCGCAGGCAGAAGGGGACUGCACUUGUCGGAGGAAGCUGUAGAUGGUGCUGUCGGCCCAGGAAAGCAAAUUUGGGAUCGUUAUUCGUCG